CCUACGGGAGGCAGCAGUGAGGAAUAUUGGUCAAUGGGCGAGAGCCUGAACCAGCCAAGUCGCGUGAGGGAAGACGGUCCUAUGGAUUGUAAACCUCUUUUGCCGGGGAGCAAAAAGCGGUACGUGUACCGCAUCGAGAGUACCCGGAGAAUAAGCAUCGCCUAACUCCGUUCCAGCAGCCGCGGUAUAACGGAGUAGGCGAGCGUUACCCGGAUUUAUUGGGUUUAAAGGGUUGGCAGGCGGCGAGUUAAGUACGCGGGAAAAUUUCGGGGCUAAACCCCAAAAAGCCGUGGAAACCGGCUGGCUAGAGUGGGCGAGAAGUAUGCGGAAUGCGUGGUGUAGCGGUGAAAUGCAUAGAUAUCACGCAGAACUCCGAUUGCGAAGGCAGCAUACCGGCGCCCAACUGACGCUGAGGCACGAAAGCGUGGGUAUCGAACAGGAUUAGAUACCCGGGUAGUC
rnacentral:rRNA from 1 species